UUAUAUCUUGCUCUUUUCAUGCCUAGCGCAGCCAUGGCUCGUGGUCCCAGGAGCAUCUGAAGCAUGUAGUAUUGGAUGCUGGAUAAACUUACUGGUGUGUUCGCUCCUCACCCAUCUACUGGUCCCCAUAAGCUGAGAGAAUGUCUGCCUCUUAAUCAUUUUCCUAAGGAACAGACUUAAGUAUGUCCUAACAGGAGAUGAAGUAAAUAAGAUCUGUAUGUAGCAUUUUAUUAAGAUUGAUGGUAACAGGGGAGCCUGGAUUGGUGGCAAGGUCCAAACUGAUAUAACCUACCCUGCUGGUUUUAUGGAUGUCAUCACCAUUGACAAGACUGAGGAGAAUUUCUGUCUGAUCUAUGACACCAAGGGUCGCUUUGCUGUUCAUGGGAUUACACCUGAGAAGGCCAAGUAUAAGUUGUGCAAAGUGAGAAAGAUCUUUGUGGGGACAAAAGGAAUCCCCAUCUGGUGACUCAAGAUGUUCGCACCAUCUGCUAUCCUGAUCCCCUCAUUAAGGUGAAUAACACCAUUCAGAUUUAUUUGGAGACUGGGGAGAUCACUGAUUUCAUCAAGUUUGACACUAGCAAUCUGUGUAUGGUGACCAGAGGUGCUAACCUGGGAAGAAUUGGUGUGAUCACCAACAGAGAGAGAGACACCCUGGUUCUUUUGAUGUCGUUCACGUGAAAGAUGCCAAUGGCAACAGCUUUGCCACCCAACUCUCCAACAUUUUUGUUACUGGCAAAGGCAACAAACCAUGGAUUUCUCCUCCCCGUGGAAAGGGUAUCCACCUCACCAUUGCUGAAGAGAGGGACAAGAGACUGGCGGGCAAACAGAGCAGGGGGUAAAAUGGUCCCUAGGUGACGUGAUUGAAAGUCUUUAUAGUUAAUUAAAGAUCAUACAGCACAAAAAAAUUUUUAAAAAAUAUUUUAUAUCUCGUGUCCUGAGUGUCCCCUUUCACUCUCCAAACCUUCCUGGUUUGAUGAAUUGGACUUUAUUAAAGGAAGAUAUAUGACAAAGAACUCAUAUUCAAACUGUAUUGAGAACUUCUAUAGAUCAAUAAGGAAAAGACAAAUAACUCAAUUUAAAAAUGGGCAAGACUUGAGCCAGCCAGGGAAUAUCCACGUGGCCAAAAAGU